CCCUUAGAUGUUCUGGGCUGCACGCGCGCUACACUGAUGCGCUCAACGAGUUUUAACCUUGCCUGGAAAGGUUGGGUAAUCUUUUUAAAACGCAUCGUGAUGGGGAUAGAUUAUUGCAAUUAUUAAUCUUCAACGAGGAAUGCCUAGUAGGCGCAAGUCAUCAGCUUGCGUCGAUUACGUCCCUGCCCUUUGUACACACCGCCCGUCGCUCCUACCGAUUGGGUGUGCUGGUGAAAUGUUCGGAUCGGCCGUUUGUCGCGGUUUCCGCGUCAUGUGGCUGAGAAGUUCAUUAAACCCUCCCACCUAGAGGAAGGAGAAGUCGUAACA
rnacentral:rRNA from 1 species